rnacentral:rRNA from 1 species
AUCGAACGCUGGCGGCAUGCUUUACACAUGCAAGUCGAACGGCAGCACGGGGGCAACCCUGGUGGCGAGUGGCGAACGGGUGAGUAAUGCAUCGGAACGUGCCCUUUCGUGGGGGAUAACACAUCGAAAGAUGUGCUAAUACCGCAUACGACCUGAGGGUGAAAGCGGGGGACCGUAAGGCCUCCCGCGAUAGGAGCGGGCGAUGUCUGAUUAGCUAGUUGGUCGGGUAAAGGCCUACUAAGGCGACGAUAAGUAGCGGGUCUGAGAGGACGACCAGUCACACUGGGACUGAGACACGGCGCAGAAUCCUACGGUAGGCAGCAGUGGGGAAUUUUGGACAAUGGGGGCAACCCUGAUCCAGCCAUGCCGCGUGCGGGAAGAAGGCCUUCGGGUUGUAAACCGAUUUUGGCAGGAACGAAACGGUGCGGGCGAAUACCCUGUGCUAAUGACGGUACCUGCAGAAUAAGCACCGGCUAACUACGUGCCAGCCGCCGCGGUAA